rnacentral:rRNA from 1 species
AGAGUUUGAUCCUGGCUCAGGAUAAACGCUGGCGGCGUGCCUAACACAUGCAAGUCGAACGCCCAUCGUAAGAUGGGAGUGGCGGACGGGUGAGGAACACGUGGGUAUCUACCCAGAGGUGAGGAAUACCGGCGAGAAAUCGCCGACAAUACCGCAUACGCUUCGCAAGAAGCAAAGUCGCAAGAUGCCUUUGGAUGAGCCUGCGUCCGAUUAGUUCGUUGGUGGGGUAAUGGCCUACCAAGACGACGAUCGGUAGCUGGUCUGAGAGGACGAUCAGCCACACUGGGAUUGAGAACGGCCCAGACUCCUACGGGGGGCAGCAGUGAGGAAUUUUCGUCAAUGGUCGCAAGACUGAACGAGCAACGCCGCGUGCAGGACGACGGCCUUCGGGUUGUAAACUGCUUUUCUCUGGGAAGAGAACGGACGGUACCAGAGGAAGAAGCCCCGGCUAACUACGUGCCAGCAGCCGCGGUAAUACGUAGGGGGCGAGCGUUGUCCGGAGUUACUGGGCGUAAAGGGCGUGCAGGCGGUCUUGUAAGUUCGGAGUGACAGUUCCCGGCUCAACUGGGGAAGGCCUGCCGAAAACUGCGAGACUUGAGGGCCAGAGAGGGACAUAGAAUUCCGGGUGGAGUGGUGAAAUGCGUAGAUAUCCGGAGGAAUACCAAAGGCGAAGGCAGUGUCCUGGCUGGCAUCUGACGCUGAGGCGCGAAAGCUAGGGGAGCGAACAGGAUUAGAUACCCCAGUAGUCC